rnacentral:lncRNA from 1 species
AUUUGAAAAAGACCUGAAGGUUGCUGAAGUUAUGAGCCAAGCAGAUACGUCUGGGAAAGUGGUUUAGAUGCAUGUGCCAAGACCCCAAGGAAAGGCCCUGUCUGAGAUGUCAGAAGGACAAAUGAGGAGGCCAGUGAAUGUGAUGUGCUUUAUUGCUUGCUCUUUCUGGCCCUUAACUCUGGGCCUGAUAUCUUGUGGGCAUCUGUGGAAUAUGUGGACUCUGAGAAGUAAGACUCAGUCACAAGAAUUGGCCAAUGCCAGCUUGGAUAUAAAUGACUCAGAAAUCUGCAGAGCAAGCCUAGGAUGGGCCAAAGAAAGAAACCGGGGGCUUCCUGGAGGAGGUGAGGGUAUAAACCUGAAGGCUGUUCUCUAAAUCAUUCCUGCUUCUGCAAAGCCUCAUGAUGGCUAGAAGUAAGAGUUAGCCCCUCUCAAGUCCUUCUUAAGAACAUGCACAGCCCUGGCAUGUGUGUGGCCUUCAGUUUUCCAUGAAUAUGUCAGAGCUUUUCAAAUCCCCUAAGACCAUCUCACUCAGCAUAUAUAUUAGGGGAAGAAAAAAUACCCAUUUUUUUAUUGGUAUGUUCUAGCAUAGACUGAUAAAAUACCUCUUCCAACCCUUAAUUUUGAAGAACUAUCUACUGAUCAAAUAUUUGGUCUUCUUGCUGACCUCCGGGAGUCCAAAGUCUCCUCAGAAAGGUCACGAGGUUUACCUUCCUGCCCCCCUGUGCUUGCUUACAUCCCGUUUUCAAUUUUCUUAUUAUACACUGGGUGAACGUCCUGGUACUAAACUCACACU